rnacentral:rRNA from 2 species
UAAGGGACGAAAGCGUGGGGAGCAAACAGGAUUAGAUACCCUGGUAGUCCACGCCGUAAACGAUGAUCAUUAGUUGGUGGCAAAAGUCACUAACACAGCUAACGCGUUAAAUGAUCCGCCUGAGUAGUAUGCUCGCAAGAGUGAAACUUAAAGGAAUUGACGGGAACCCGCACAAGCGGUGGAGCAUGUGGUUUAAUUUGAUGAUACGCGUAGAACCUUACCCACUCUUGACAUUCUCGCAAAACUAUAGAGAUAUAGCCGAGGCUAACGAGAUCACAGAUGGUGCAUGGUUGUCGUCAGCUCGUGUCGUGAGAUGUUAGGUUAAGUCCUGCAACGAGCGCAACCCUUUUCUUUAGUUGCUAACAUUUAGUUGAGAACCCUAAAGAUACUGCCGGCGCAAGCCGGAGGAAGGUGGGGACGACGUCAAAUCAUCAUGCCUCUUACGAGUGGGGCAACACACGUGCUACAAUGGCUACUACAAAGAGCAGCAAAACAGUGAUGUCAAGCUAAUCUCAAAAAAGUAGUCUCAGUUCGGAUUGAAGUCUGCAACUCGACUUCAUGAAGUCGGAAUCGCUAGUAAUCGCAGGUCAGCUAUACUGCGGUGAAUACGUUCUCGGGUUUUGUACACACCGCCCGUCACACCAUGGGAGUUGGUAAUGCCCAAAGUCGGUGAGUUAACUUCGGAGACCAUUGCCUAAGGCAGGACCGAUGACUGGGGUGAAGUCGUAACAAGGUAUCCCUACGAGAACGUGGG